ACGAACGCUGGCGGCAUGCCUAACACAUGCAAGUCGAACGAGACCUUCGGGUCUAGUGGCGCACGGGUGCGUAACGCGUGGGAACCUGCCCUUAGGUUCGGAAUAACUCCCCGAAAGGGGUGCUAAUACCGGAUAAUGUCUUCGGACCAAAGAUUUAUCGCCUUUGGAUGGGCCCGCGUUGGAUUAGCUAGUUGGUAGGGUAAAAGCCUACCAAGGCGACGAUCCAUAGCUGGUCUGAGAGGAUGAUCAGCCACACUGGGACUGAGACACGGCCCAGACUCCUACGGGAGGCAGCAGUGGGGAAUAUUGGACAGUGGGCGAAAGCCUGAUCCAGCAAUGCCGCGUGAGUGAUGAAGGCCUUAGGGUUGUAAAGCUCUUUUACCCGGGAUGAUAAUGACAGUACCGGGAGAAUAAGCUCCGGCUAACUCCGUG
rnacentral:rRNA from 1 species